AUUGAACGCUGGCGGCAGGCCUAACACAUGCAAGUCGAACGGUAGCACAGAGAGCUUGCUCUCGGGUGACGAGUGGCGGACGGGUGAGUAAUGUCUGGGAAACUGCCCGAUGGAGGGGGAUAACUACUGGAAACGGUAGCUAAUACCGCAUAACGUCGCAAGCCCAAAGUGGGGGACCUUCGGGCCUCACACCAUCGGAUGUGCCCAGAUGGGAUUAGCCAGUAGGUGGGGUAAUGGCUCACCUAGGCGACGAUACCUAGCUGGUCUGAGAGGAUGACCAGCCACACUGGAACUGAGACACGGUCCAGACUCCUACGGGAGGCAGCAGUGGGGAAUAUUGCACAAUGGGCGCAAGCCUGAUGCAGCCAUGCCGCGUGUAUGAAGAAGGCCUUCGGGUUGUAAAGUACUUUCAGCGGGGAGGAAGGCGGUGAAGUUAAUAACUUCACCGAUUGACGUUACCCGCAGAAGAAGCACCGGCUAACUCCGUGCCAGCCGCCGCGGUAA
rnacentral:rRNA from 1 species